GCCAGGCGUGGUGGCUCACGCCUGUAAUCCCAGCACUUUGGGAGGCCGAGGUGGGUGGAUCACCUGAGGUCGGGAGUUUGAGACCAGCCUGACCAACAUGGUGAAACCCCAUCUCUA
rnacentral:SRP_RNA from 1 species